rnacentral:rRNA from 1 species
CCGAUGCUUAUUCUUCAGGUACACGUCAUUUUGUUCCUCCCUGAAAAAAGAGGUUUACAACCCAUAGGCAGUCAUCCCUCACGCGAGAUUGCUCCGUCAGGCUUUCGCCCAUUGCGGAAAAUUCCCC